UUGAGCGAUUUACUUCGGUAAAGAGCGGCGGACGGGUGAGUAACGCGUGGGUAACCUACCCUGUACACACGGAUAACAUACCGAAAGGUAUGCUAAUACGGGAUAAUAUAUUUGAGAGGCAUCUCUUAAAUAUCAAAGGGGAGCCAGUACAGGAGGGACCCGCGUCUGAUUAGCUAGUUGGUAAGGUAACGGCUUACCAAGGCGACGAUCAGUAGCCGACCUGAGAGGGUGAUCGGCCACAU
rnacentral:rRNA from 1 species